rnacentral:tRNA from 1 species
AAAACUUUAGGUUAAAUCUAAACCUUAGGCCUUCAAAGCCUUUAAUAAGCAAAAUAAGCUUAAGUUUUG